AGAGGAUCCUGGGGAAAGUUAAUGAGCUCAUAAUGACUGCACAUAACCCCUGUCCCAAUCCUCUUGCCAAUGAAUAGACUGUUUGCAGUGAGCCUGAUCAUGGGAUGCUGUUGCUUUCCAAAAAAUUAGAGGUGGAGAUCACCCUGAGGGCAGUGGAGAAAUGCACAGUGGGUCCCUACUCCUCCUAGAUUUCUGGACAGGUCAUGGGCAAGGGAGAACUUUAAGAACAAGGAUGUGACUUCUCCCCACCACCCUAGGGAAUAGCUGAGAAAUAAACUUUGAAGCCGAGUUGGAGCCACUGAAAGCUGAACGAGAGAAUAAACAAAUAUUCAACAGAA